CCCCCGUCACCCGAACGCCGCUCUCUCAUAGGCUGGAGCUCUACCUGCAGCCCCACCCCGCGCCUUGGCCCCGUCGCCGCGCCCAGUUUGAAGCUUCCUCCCGGCCGCGUGGGCAAGUGUUGCUUGGAGCUGACCGCUGAGGCUCCAAGCGUUUCCUACCUCAGCGCGAGGUUCUGGGGAGGUGUCACAGAUGUGUCUCAGAGGUGGCAGAACUUGAUGUGGACCUUGAAGGUGAAGAAUUUGGAUGAGGCAAUUGGGACAUUCCAGGUGAGAGAAAGGUGUGCAAGACGGCUCUUGUUGUGGGCCAGGUGCAGGACAUAAAGUGGAUUAGGAGGUACAAACUUCCAGUUAUAAAAUAAAUAAGUCACAAAGAUGAAAAGUAUAGCAUAGGGAAGAUAGUUAAUAAUACUGUAAUAACAUUGUAUGGUGGCAGAUAGUGACUAAACUUA
rnacentral:lncRNA from 1 species